UCGAGAACCCGACCGAGAGACCGCGAACCUGUAAACGGACGACACCGUGUCGGGCGGGCAUUAUGUCCGCCCUACUCGGGACCUCGCAUCGUGUCCGCGGCCGCCUCCGAGCGUUCCCGGCACGAUUUGCGGGGGACGAACGAAACCCCGGCGCAGCCUGUGCCAAGGAACAUAUGUCAGGACGGACGCGUGCCAACACCUCUGUGGUGGGGUGACGUCCGAUCUUUAUC
rnacentral:misc_RNA from 1 species